AUGAGAUCCAGAAGCCUGAAAGUUUCUGGAAAGAGCAGAACAAGUUUAGAACUCUCCACUUCAGAGUCAUGAUGGUUCAUCUUAAACUUUAAGAUGUAUCUGGAAGUCCUGGUAUACAGCUAUUCAGACAGACUGUGAAGUUUUCAAGGGCAAAUCUACAUUCAAGGGCAACAGUGGCUUCUAACAGGUGCCUGAUACACUAACUCAACUCCACAGGACACACAGAUCUGGCAUCUUGUCCAACAUCUGGAUGAUACCCAUUUUCAGA